AACGAACGCUGGCGGCAGGCCUAACACAUGCAAGUCGAGCGAGGACUUCGGUUCUAGCGGCGGACGGGUGAGUAACGCGUGGGAAUGUGCCCUUCUCUACGGAAUAGCCCUGGGAAACUAGGAGUAAUACCGUAUACGCCCUAUUGGGGAAAGAUUUAUCGGAGAAGGAUCAGCCCGCGUUGGAUUAGGUAGUUGGUGGGGUAAUGGCCUACCAAGCCGAGGAUCCAUAGCUGGUUUGAGAGGAUGAUCAGCCACACUGGGACUGAGACGCGGCCCAGACUCCUACGGGAGGGAGCAGUGGGGAAUCUUAGACAAUGGGGGCAGCCCUGAUCUAGCCAUGCCGGGUGAGUGAUGAAGGCCUUAGGGUUGUAAAGCUCUUUCAGCUGGGAAGAUAAUGACGGUACCAGCAGAAGAAGCCCCGGCUAACUCCGUG
rnacentral:rRNA from 1 species